rnacentral:rRNA from 1 species
UACGUAGGGGGCAAGCGUUAUCCGGAUUUACUGGGUGUAAAGGGAGCGUAGACGGCGGUGCAGGCCAGAUGUGAAAGCCCGGGGCUCAACCCCGGGACUGCAUUUGGAACUGUGCUGCUAGAGUGUCGGAGAGGCAGGCGGAAUUCCUAGUGUAGCGGUGAAAUGCGUAGAUAUUAGGAGGAACACCAGUGGCGAAGGCGGCCUGCUGGACGAUGACUGACGUUGAGGCUCGAAAGCGUGGGGAGCAAACAGG